rnacentral:lncRNA from 1 species
GAAAUUCUUCUUCUCCGAAUACACAAAGAGCUGAAGACAACGAAACGUGACCAUGAAUAUAACGCCUCUUACCAAAACGUGAGGUUUUGAAAUGACAUCACAUACGAAUAUAUCUUACUAUGUAGUCAUGCUGUGAUGUAGUGAAUUAUAGUUGUGACCAGAUAUCCAGAAAGUUAAUAUGAAAUAAAUAAAGCAUUAAUUAUAAAAGAUUAAAGUUGGAAUUGCGGUUAAGAGUUAGACGAGGGUUAGUAUUGGUUGAAAGAUUACUGGGUUAUAUUUACAGGGUUAUAGUAAACAUGUGAACCGACUAGGCCUUCGUGUAAAGAAACUUAAAAAACUCAUUAAUAAUUCAG